rnacentral:rRNA from 1 species
AUUGAACGCUGGCGGAAUGCUUUACACAUGCAAGUCGAACGGCAGCACGGGGGCAACCCUGGUGGCGAGUGGCGAACGGGUGAGUAAUACAUCGGAACGUGCCCGGUCGUGGGGGAUAACGUAGCGAAAGUUACGCUAAUACCGCAUACGAUCUGAGGAUGAAAGCGGGGGACCUUCGGGCCUCGCGCGAUCGGAGCGGCCGAUGUCAGAUUAGGUAGUUGGUGGGGUAAAGGCCUACCAAGCCGACGAUCUGUAGCUGGUCUGAGAGGACGACCAGCCACACUGGGACUGAGACACGGCCCAGACUCCUACGGGAGGCAGCAGUGGGGAAUUUUGGACAAUGGGCGCAAGCCUGAUCCAGCCAUUCCGUGUGCAGGACGAAGGCCUUCGGGUUGUAAACUGCUUUUGUAUGGAACGAAAAGGCUCUGGCUAAUACCUGGGGCUCAUGACGGUACCGUAAGAAUAAGCACCGGCUAACUACGUG